GUGAAAACUUGAAAUAUCUCUUUCCGAUUACUUCUGCCCAUGGUGGCCUCCCAAAAUUGGAGGCAAUAAGCAUUAGAAACGUCUCCAAAUUAGAGCAGGUAUUUGAAGGAGAUGAAGCAAAUGUGAGUACGGAUGAAGAGAAAGUGAUACACCUACCUCAAUUAACCUACUUAGACCUUGAUACGCUACCAAACCUCAUCAGCUUCGGCCCUGUAGGUUAUCAUUUUGUUUUCCCAUCUUUGGAGUAUUUAGACGUAAAAGGUUGUCCCAACCUAACCACAAGGUUUAGUGUUGAUUCAGAGCAAUCAGUGCAUGCCGAAACACAGGAAAGCCAAUCAGUUGAUGAAACUAUAGUGGAAGAAUCUGUUAGAGCUCCGGAAACUACAUGGCCAGCUAGUAGCAACAUAAGGUGCCGGCUACACAGGGGCGAAGUCAGAACACUUUUUAAGGGGGCUUAGUGAGAUUUUAACUUUUUUAUAGUUUAUAUUUUAUAAAUUUUAAAAAAUUAAAUAAAAUUUUAAGAAGGUUAAAAUAUAAUUUUAUUUUUAUUAAUUUAAAAUUUUAAAAAUUUUUAAAAGACCUAAAUAAUAAUUUUUUAUUUUCGGGGGUCGGGUCCAUGCCACCCCUUCUGGGUGGCGGAAAAUAUAAACUGAAAAAGAAAAUUUCUGUACAACUUUUUUAAUAGGAAGAUGCAAUUGAAUGAAGGCAAUUAUAUAAAA